rnacentral:tRNA from 1 species
GCCGGAGUGGAGGAACGGCAGACUCGGAGGUUUCAAAAACCUCUGGCCGAAAGGCCAUGUGGGUUCGAAUCCCACCUCCGGCA